GAUCCUCUGAGUUAAGGGUUUGGGCGACAGACACCUUGCCUGCUUUGCCUCCUGAGAGGAGAGCAUUCGUGGCCUUCAUCUGACAAGGACUUGGGGAGCUGCUUCCAUGAUGGACCUGAGGAAGGGCCCGUUGCAUGGGACACUGCGGCCACCACGGAAACUCUGAGUCCUCACCUUCGUCUGCACCUCCCGGGAACAACACAGGAGACUGGCUCUUCCAGAACUAGGCCAAUGUCCUCACGAAGGCCAAGAUUUAGGCAGCACAACCAAGAGAUGAUGUUGUCCAAAUGCUUGUUGAAGUAGAGACACCCACUGAUUAAAAGCUGCAGAAGCCUCGCUAUCCAGAUGCAUUUACUCUUCGGACAUUCCAGGAUUUGACUGAGCAAGGAACAGGAUUCAGUCGGAUGCUCUCAGAGUCUGAAUUUCUGGCCUAUAUUAUUUACUCUCUCCAUGUGCUUCCUGGCACAAAUAGGGCAGCCUCCAGGGCUCCCGAGGACAGCUGCUCAUAUUCAUCUGACACCAUGUGGCCACAGAGCGGAAACUCAUCCAGUUUUGCCUUCUUCCGACCCAGGUCAAAGAGGUGAAACUUGCCAUUAGGGAAACCUUGGCAGAAGUAAGAAUGGGGGAAGGAGUGACAACUUCCAAGCUGUUGACCUGUCAGUGCUGAAACCAGCAGUCCCUUCAACGAGGGCCAAAUGAGCUCCUGCAGCUGUUGACUGUGUAAGGAAGCUGUAGAUUGUGCCUGACACCACAUCGCCCUUCUGACAGCUGUAGUUACCCACAGAAUUCUCAGUUCUGCCUGCAACCCAAGGAGACGAGCAUCCCUGUCUUCAUUUUACAGAGAUGACAGGAUAAGCCUUGUGCCGUAAGUCACACGGCUGUGACCCCUAAAUCCAGGAUUCCAGCCCUUGGCCUCCCUGGGCUACGGCAGCAGCAGCACCAGGAACCCUGUUAUAAAUGCAGAGUCUCAGGCUCUCACCCACACCGACUGCCUGCCGAUCUGCAUUUUAACAAGAACCUGAAUGGAGCUUUGUCGUCUCCACGGCAGAGCCAGCCUCUCCAUGGGCACACAGAACUGCAUGCUUCUGUGGACUUGGGGCAAAUCUGCUUUAUCACACUUUUUACAAAACAGUGAGGGUUCCACGGUAUUUUACAAGACUACAAGGUGAGAGCUUAUCUUGGGAUAGGAGGAUCCGUCUCCAUUCUGGGAGGUGCAAAGAAAAUGGGUCUUAGACCUCAAGCUCUGAGCCUCGAAUGCCAGACUUCUGCAUUCCUCUCUCCACCACCAGCAUUUCAUCCCAGACUCUGCUCAACCCAACUCAGCAACAGAGAAAUGAGAAAGGGACUUGGCUUCAGCCAGAGUGAACUUACUUGGAUGCUCCAGGGAAGCAGGAAGGUGCAGGGGUGGACACUAUGGAUGUGGGAGGUAGGAAUUCUCAGCGUGAUUGCCAUCCUAGAUACCUCCCAGGAGCCAGCCUGGAGGAUGGGGGCGGGGGCAGUGUAGCCCAGGACACGGGUACAGAGGCGGGAAGUCACCAGCACAGCAGGAUGGUCUAUACUGCAAGUCAUGGAGGGGCCUCGGUGCCACUUUGGAGAAGGAAAGAGGUAGCAUCUGCAGGGAGUGUCCUUUAAGUUGAGUCUUGACAAACGAGAAGGCAGCUUCAGUUCUGCCUCGCUCCGAUGAUAGAGAUCCUUUUGUUUCGGAUUAGACUAUUGGGUGCUUGAACUCUACUGACCUGCGAUAUGCAGUCUCUGUCAACAGUAAGAGCAUCUGCCCUUGUAGCAGCCCUCAUGCAGAACGAGAUCUCUGACAGACGGCUACUCUUAUUAGGUACUCUUAGCACAUAUUACUCUUAAUCAUCAUAACUGCCAACGAGGUUGGUAUCAUUGCUCCUGUUUUUGGAUGGGAAAUCAAAAGUCCAGAGACCAUACGUGAUGCUUCCCAGGUCACCCAGCCGCAAAUGGGAAUGUGUUUGAACUGCCAAGGGUAUUUAUGAAUGUAAGUGUUGAUGGGGGCUUCACAGUCUGUUGAUGCUUUUCCAUAUAGCCCUCACUGAUCGCCACUGGCUGGUGUUUAUUGGGGCUUGCAUAUAUCCAACAGAAGAGGUGGACGAAGUCAGCAUGUGGGCUUUUAAAAAAAUUAGCAUUUAAAUAAAGGAAACAGUCAUAAAUGUUGUUCACCAGUAGUAACUCACUCAGCUCUGCUUGGGAAACAUCACUUGGACACUUAUUAUGAGAAAGGUGGUCUAUGAGGGGUUAAGGUUGUCAGGUUGGGCAAGGUACCUUUAUGACAGAAAACACAUAGAAAUUCAGAUUGGGCAUCUAUGAUGUGCCUCCUAUAGAUACAGAAGUGAAUGCAGCUAGGACCGGUCAAAAUGUUAUAUUUUUGGGGACAGGUAGUUUGCUCAACUUAGCUGUUUACUAGUCCUAAUGUGUUAGGACUGAGUGGCAGCUAGAUUUCCUCGUGUAAGUAUGGCCUCUUCCCAUGCCAAAGAAAUGCCGUAAAGACCGAAAAUCGUCUCAGAUUUGGAAGCUCU